rnacentral:rRNA from 1 species
GGGGAAUAUUGGACAAUGGGCGAAAGCCUGAUCCAGCAAUGCCGCGUGGGUGAAGACGGCCUGCGGGUUGUAAAGCCCUUUAGGUGGGGAGGAAAGGCGGGACGUGAACAGCGCUUCGCACUGACGUUACCCACGGAAUAAGCACCGGCUAACUCCGUGCCAGCAGCCGCGGUAAUACGGAGGGUGCGAGCGUUAAUCGGAAUUACUGGGCGUAAAGCGUGCGUAGGCGGUUUGGUCAGUCAGCCGUGAAAGCCCCGGGCUUAACCUGGGAACGGCGGUUGAGACGGCCAGACUCGAGUGGGCUAGAGGAUCGUGGAAUUCCCGGUGUAGCAGUGAAAUGCGUAGAGAUCGGGAGGAACACCGAUGGCGAAGGCAGCGAUCUGGGGCCACACUGACGCUGAGGCACGAAGGCGUGGGGAGCAAAC